rnacentral:rRNA from 1 species
AUUGAACGCUGGCGGCAUGCUUUACACAUGCAAGUCGAACGGCAGCGCGGGCUUCGGCCUGGCGGCGAGUGGCGAACGGGUGAGUAAUACAUCGGAACGUGCCCAGUAGUGGGGGAUAGCUCGGCGAAAGCCGGAUUAAUGCCGCAUACGACCUGAGGGUGAAAGCGGGGGAUCUUCGGACCUCGCGCUAUUUGAGCGGCCGAUGGCGGAUUAGCUAGUUGGUGGGGUAAAGGACUACCAAGGCGACGAUCUGUAGCUGGUCUGAGAGGACGACCAGCCACACUGGGACUGAGACACGGCCCAGACUCCUACGGGAGGCAGCAGUGGGGAAUGUUGGACAAUGGGCGAAAGCCUGAUCCAGCAAUGCCGCGUGUGUGAUGAAGGCCUUCGGGUUGUAAAGCACUUUUGGCGGGAACGAAAAGGACUGUGCCAAUACCACGGUUCGAUGACGGUACCCGCAGAAUAAGCACCGGCUAACUACGUG